GGGAAGGGGCCAUCACUGGGGUGCCAAGAGCAUGCUUUGUCCCCAUGCCCUCUGGUCAGCUUAUCCUAAUUCAGCUGCCUUUGCAGAGCGCCCGCCCAGUGCCUUGCAGCUCGCCCAUUUCAGAGGAAGAACCCAGGCUCAGGGAGGCGGGACACAUGCCUGAGGUCACACAGAGGAAAGGCAGAGCUGGGUCGGGCCUCUCUCCUCUGUGCUCAGAGAGGUGGCAAUGAUUGGUAAUGCCAGCUCCCAGUUAGCAGGCAGCUCCAGGUCGCAGACACCGGGUUCACAUCUACGUGAAGGACUUCUUCAAUCGUCGUUGAUACCCACCGCCAAGUGAUCACUCUCAUUAUCCCCACAAAGAGAGGGAGGCGUGGAGAUAGAGCCAAGUGCAGAUGGGAACACUUCAAUAGGGCUGCUGCUGCCUCGGGCUGAUGCCAAGAUCCCUACAGGCUCACGCCCGGCCUCUCGGUCUCUCCCCCUUUUUAAAUUUUUAUUAUUGCGGUAAAAUAUACACGAAAUGUACCACUUUCACCAUUUUUUAAGUGCACAGCUCAGGGGCGUUAGGCACAUUCCCACUGUUGGUGCAGCCAUCAUCACCAUCCAUCUCCAGGACUUUUUCAUCGUCCCCAACUGAAACUCUGUCCCCCUUAAACACUUAACUCCCCGUUCUCUCCCUUCAGCCCCUGGCGUCCACCAUUCUACUUUCGGUCUCUGUGAAUUUGACCCCUCUAGGGACCCCAUGCAGGUGGGAUCACACAGUAUCUGUCCUUUCGUAGUCCGGCUUAUUUUCCUUAGCGUGAUGUCCUCAAGGCACGCUCGUGUUGGAGCGCUGCUAGUGUUAGAAUUCCUUCUUUUUUAAGGUUGAAAAAUAUCCCAUUGAAUGGUUAGACCACAUUUUGUUUCUUCAACUCAUCCAUCGAUGGACGUCUGAGCCAUUCCCACCUUUUGGCUCUUGUGAAUAAUGCCGUGAAGAACACGGCAUGUACAAAUAUCUAUCUGAGUUCCUGGUUUCGACUCUCGCGGUGACAUAUCCAGGAGUGGAAUUGAUGGGUCAUAUGGAGAGAGAGACAGCAUGUGAGCGGGGGAGGAGCAGAGAGAGAGAGAGAGAGAGAGACAGAAUCGGAUGCAGGUUCCAGGCUCCGAGCUGUCAGCACAGAGCCUGACGCGAGGCUCGAACUCACAGACCGCGAGAUCAUGACCUGAGCCGAAGUCGGACGCUCAACCGACGGAGCCACCCAGGCGCCCCAACUUAAUUGUGAACACCGACGGGAAGUAGAUGAGAGGUUGCCUCGGGCUAGAGGGAAUGGGGGAGAAUGGAGAGUGACAGUUAAAGGAUAGAGGUUUCUUUCGGAGGGGAUGGUCGCACAAUUCUGUGAAUAUACUAAAAACCAAUGAACGGGAUGCUUUAAGUGGGUGAAUUGGGUAGUAUAUGAAUUAGAGCCCAAUAAAGCUGUUAUAAAAUAAACAACAACGGAAAAAAUGUAACUUAUUUCGGUUUCUGUAACGGAGGAUACACACUCCUAAAUGAUACUAAAUUGAGUCUUCCUAUGAACCCAAGGCAACAACAACAACAACAACAACAACAACGAAGGAUGGUUCUGCUUAGCAGAGAGGAACAGGAAUCCUCUCCCUCAAGAAGAUGGCUCAGUGCAUCGGCCUGCA